rnacentral:rRNA from 1 species
GACGAACGUUGGCGGCGUGCUUAAUACAUGCAAGUCAACUGAAGCAGUGGUAGCAAUAUCGCUGUGGAGGUGGCGCACGGGUGAGUGACACGUAGGUAAUCUGCCUUCAGGUCUGGCAUAACUCCGGGAAACCGGGGCUAAUAGAAGAUGAUGCAGCGGCUCGACAUCGAGACAGUUGUUAAAGCUAUGGCGCCUGAAGAUGAGCCUGCGUCUGAUUAGCUAGUUGGCGGGGUAACGGCCCACCAAGGCAACGAUCAGUAGCUGGUCUGAGAGGAUGAUCAGCCACACUGGAACUGAGACACGGUCCAGACUCCUACGGGAGGCAGCAGUAAGGAAUAUUGCUCAAUGGGAGAAAUCCUGAAGCAGCAACGCCGCGUGAGGGACGAAGGGCUUUUGCUUGUAAACCUCUGUAGUGAGAGAAAAAAAUCCCAAUCUUUGGGACAUGAUGGUAUCUCAAAAGUAAGCCCCGGCUAACUACGUG